GCAGUCAAGCCACGGACACUUGUGGGAGCAACUUUCUUGAAGUUUCUUGCAGAAAAUGAUUCGGCAUUUGACAUACUCUAUUGUAUCACGUUCAAACUAAUGGAUCAUGAAUGGCUUGCCAUGCGUGCAUCAUAUAUGGACUUCAAUACGGUAAUGAAAGCAACACGACGACAACUAGAAAAAGAGCUCCUAGCCGAGGACAUUUCAAGACUAGAAGAACUACCCUCAUACGGCCUUCUCAAUCAGUAG